rnacentral:hammerhead_ribozyme from 1 species
AUACAGCUGACGAGUCCCAAAUAGGACAAAACGCACGUCCUGGAU